rnacentral:rRNA from 1 species
GAUUAACGCUAGCGGCAGGCCUAAUACAUGCAAGUCGAACGGCAGCACGGGUAGCAAUAUCUGGUGGCGAGUGGCGCACGGGUGCGUAACGCGUAUGCAAUCUACCUAUAACUGGGGAAUAGCCUUCCGAAAGGAAGAUUAAUACCGCAUAAAAUCACGAGGCGGCAUCGUUUUGUGAUCAAAACUCCGGUGGUUAUAGAUGAGCAUGCGUGACAUUAGCUAGUUGGUGAGGUAACGGCCCACCAAGGCUACGAUGUCUAGGGGGUCUGAGAGGAUGAUCCCCCACACUGGUACUGAGACACGGACCAGACUCCUACGGGAGGCAG